rnacentral:rRNA from 1 species
GCCCUACGGGAGGCAGCAGUGGGGAAUAUUGCACAAUGGACGAAAGUCUGAUGCAGCAACGCCGCGUGGAGGAUGACACAUUUCGGUGCGUAAACUCCUUUUAUAUAAGAAGAUAAUGACGGUAUUAUAUGAAUAAGCACCGGCUAACUCCGUGCCAGCAGCCGCGGUAAUACGGGGGGUGCAAGCGUUACUCGGAAUCACUGGGCGUAAAGAGCAUGUAGGCGGAUUGAUAAGUUUGAAGUGAAAUCCUAUAGCUUAACUAUAGAACUGCUUUGAAAACUGUUAAUCUAGAAUGUGGGAGAGGUAGAUGGAAUUUCUGGUGUAGGGGUAAAAUCCGUAGAGAUCAGAAGGAAUACCGAUUGCGAAGGCGAUCUACUGGAACAUUAUUGACGCUGAGAUGCGAAAGCGUGGGGAGCAAACAGGAUUAGAUACCCGUGUAGUCA